GGCGUCUGGCCAGGUCUGGCAUGGUGGGAAUUCGGCAGUCGUUUGAAAGACAGCACGUUCUGGUGGUUUACAAGAGCACCGCGCAGUCUUUGCUGUUGUUCUUGACCAGCAAGUGUUCACUUUGUGUGCCUACAGUGAGCGACACAGCCUUUGGUUGUUGUGUGUCCAAGCUUCACCGGGAUCAAAACACAGGACGACUGCGUGCUAACUACAACACAAGGACAUGGUCGAUGUGUGCUCUCACUCUGGCCGGUCGCGUCUUCUGGGCUCUCCGAGCGGAAAGCACGUGUGGAAAUGUCCUCUGUGUGACUUCGCUACAACAAACAAGUCUUACAUAUCGAAUCACAAGCUAAUACACACGGGCGAGCGUCCACACAAGUGCAACUACUGUGCCAGAGCCUUCAAUAACAAGAGCAACUUGAUCAGGCAUAUUCGCGUCCACACCGGCGAGAGACCUUACCAGUGCCACCUGUGUCCGUGGAAUUCUGCGUGGACGCAUGAGCUUGUGCGCCACUUGAAAACUCACAAGCGCAGCCAACAUUUGCCUGAAGACGCUCCUAUGUGAGCUUUCACAGAAAAGACUGAGAAGUCACAUCAUGUUGCGUCUCAUUCAACGGCUUCAUGUGCUGGGCUAAAAUUGGGUCUAGUUUGUCCAUGACUGAGUGAAAUCCUCCACUGAGCUGCUUCAGCGAUGUGAAGAACCUGCGAGAGACCAGGAAACGUACACACAGGACACAAAACAUUGGAUGUUAUGAUGAAUGUUAAAGACUGAUCUCGUGUAGUUAUGCAUUUGACUAAGUGUGUGUUUGUGCAAGUCCCAAAGGUGUAGUUAAUGAAGUAAUUUGUGAUGUACUGGUUCGCCAAUGUUUAAGGGCUGCAUCAGUGCUGCGCUUUGAGAAUAAGCCACUUCAUGUUUUAUCACAAAAAAAGCCAGUGUCUAUCAUUUUCCAGUUAUAUAUGCUCUGUGUGACAGACUAGCUUGAAUAUUCAUUAAGAGGCACAAAGUCUGUUUUUUUUAAUGAAUAUGAUUUUUUUAAUGAAGAGGCACAAAGUCUGUUUUUUUUUAUGAUCUCUUCCCUAUAGCGGUGAAUUUAGUUAUGGUGUCUUUAAGAAGUGGACACAUGCUGUUAAUAACUUUGUUUUGUGCUAUCGAGUGGCUUCCUCAAGGUUUUUAUGUGUGUGUUUCAUGUGUUUUUCAUGUUUGUUUUUGUUACUUCUAGCUGCCGGAUUAAUUCCGGCAUGAUGUGGUCACUAUACUAAGAGCUCUGAUGUCGCAUUUCAGUCCGUGAGCACUGUACACCUAGAUUGGCCUUUCCGGCACGGCCCACAAAGAACGAUCAGUAAAUUAGUCAAAUUUACCCAACAUUAUUUCAAGGCACGCGAUAUUCAGUUGCAACAAAAAUAAUGUCAUAACUUUGAUUUGUGUGGUUUAGAUUAAUCAAUCUUAAUUUGUAAUUAAAUAUCUAUUUAUCCUGAAGUCAUUCGUGUUCUGCUUUCUUAUAAAUAGAAUCAAAUCUCAGGCUAGAAAUAUAGUGCUAUUUCGUUUCCAGUUGUAUUCAUUUUGAGCAAAGAAAAAUUAUACUUUUGACCUGGCUCGCGGAGGGUGGCACAUCAAGUGACUCAUCGAACAUGGUAGUGCCUUCAGCAAAAUGAUCAUAUACAACGCAGCAAAAUUGAAUUACAUAAAGACAUUUAUUAAGCAAGAGGUUCCAUUGAUUCAAACCUCAAUGUAUCCUGCACUAUCAUUGCAAUUAGUUGGCACAACUAGUAGAAACAAAUUUGUGUACACUAUCGCGUCCAAAGCACCUCAAAAGCUUAACAAAAAAAAAACUGGGGAGGUGUGAAG
rnacentral:lncRNA from 1 species